GCAUUAAUGGGGUAGUGGUAACCUGGAUCGUUGCCACUCUAACGAGUUCGACUCGAUCCGCCGGGGGUUCGAUUCCCCCUUGAUGCA
rfam:Coprinopsis cinerea okayama7#130 chromosome 6 cont3.6, whole genome shotgun sequence.